CGCUCCUCUUUGUUGCUACUUGCUCCUGUGCUGCUGUGCUCCUGGCGAUUCACCACUCAAUUCAAUCUCAACGCAAGCAUUCCUCCCCUGCUCUCCUUGUACAAUUUCUUUCCUUCUUCUUCAAGCUCAGCCAACAAAUAAUAUGGAUGAUAUCAUACAAUCUCGUACCCGAAUGAGAAGAGAUGGACAAAGUGUUACCAACUAUCAUCAUUAUCGGGUUGAAAUUUUUUGUGAGAGGAUUUUUCAUGGACAGAAACUCUAAUGAUUCGCAAGCAAUUAGACAUGUAUAUUUAUGAUGUCAAGAGAGAUCAAGAAUUUUCUAGUAUCGGAGAUUUGGGAACUCUUGCAAAAAAAAUUGGCAGCUACUAAAAAGUCUUGCUCAUAUCCAUUAGUGUAUCGUUUGAUUGAAUUAGCAUUACUUCUACUUGUGGCAACUGCUUCUCUUCAAAGAGUAUUUUCUGCAAUGAAUAUCAUCAAGACUGAUUUGCGAAAUCGAAUGGGAGAUGAAUGGAUGAAUGAUAGCUUGGUGGUAUACAUCGAGAAGGAUGUAUUUGCAAAGAUCAAUAGUGAAUUACUUUUAGAUCGUUUUCAAAAAAUGGCAUCUCGAAGAAUGCAAUUACCUCCUCGUGACAAUGUAUAAAAAUAAUUAGGGAAUAUUAUGUAUUUGAGAUCUUUAAGACUUUCGUAAUUUUUUUUUAAUACUAGUGAAGCCCCCCUUGUCAAAAUCCUGGAU